AAAAAGACAAACCCUGGGUUUCCGUGUCCAACUUUGACCGUCCGUCUUAUAUGAAAUUUUUUUACAAUUUGUAUUUUCGCUGUUGUUAGAUGAUAAAACAUGAUUAAUAUUUUAUGCGUGACUUGUCUUUUUAAUUUUUUUCAUAAUCUUUUUAAAUAAGACGGACGGUUAAACAUUGGACACGGAAACCAGGGUUUGUCUUUUU
rfam:Oryza rufipogon genomic scaffold, chr06